GCUAAGGCGGCUUCCACUGCGAUGGUCGUCCACCGAGUCCCCGAGCAACUCCACCACGCGAGCGAGAAUUGGCUUGCUUGCUGACAACAAAAAGAAAUCAUGCGGCCGCAAAUCCCCACUGCUGGACAAACACGUCGCCCGCUCGGCCCGUGUCGCGCCACUCCUCCGGCAUGCUCCUUGCUUCUCUGCCAGCUGAACAUGUCGCCCACACUGACCGCUCUGUUGGCGGUAUGCGCCGUCCCGUUCCCGCUGAAUUCUGCUAGGCCGACUGACCGCUUGACCGGCUCUGCUUUGUUAAGC
rnacentral:lncRNA from 1 species